GAUCGCAUGUUCCAAUCGUUUGCAAGUCAGUCUGUUGGUCAGCCAUGUAGCAGCAUUAUGGCUGAUGAAAAAUACUCUGAGCAGUUUGAUGACAAUGGAAAUGAAACCGAAAGCGCCAGUAAACGGUUCAAAGCUAACAAUUGUGAAGAAGUCACAGAGAACAAAAUUGAGAUAAGAGUUCAAAAUACAUCAAAAGCUCAGAAAUGUGUCAUCUGUAAACAGUAUGAGGAUCAAGUCAUUUUAUACAAUGGACAUCCAACCGAUUCAGUUCCUGAGUAUAUUGCAUUGACUGAUGAUGACCUAAUUGCUGCUGGGGAUGAGGAUGCCAUGGAUAAGCAGGAUGAACGUCCUAGUCAUAAAAUUACUUUAUAUAAUGUUUAUGAUAAGCUGGGGCACUUGGUGCCAAUAGACACUGGUUUAAUUGAAGAGGAAGUCUUAUUGUUUGUGUCUGGCUAUGUGAAGCCAAUUUAUGAUGAAGAUGAGUCUGCUGAGACUGGAAUACCAACUCAUGAUAUUGGACCCAUCACAGCCUGGUAUUAUUGCCAUUCUGGAUUUACUAGUGAUGAUCUGACUGUAUCAUUUGAAACGCCUUAUGCUGAGUAUUGCAUGAUGGCGCCAUGUGAAACAUACGCGCCUAUAAUGAAAUCAUUAAAGGAAAAAAUUCAAAUAUCCAAGAUUGUGAUGGAAUUCCUAAUGUCUGAAUCAUUGCAACAGCCUACUUAUGAAGAUAUCCUGCAGAAACUCCACACUUGCAAAGACGCGAAUAUGAAUGAGGAGUGUUUACUUCGGAAUGCGCAGUUUGUAUGUGAUCAGAUCCUGCGCGUUGAUCAGACGGCUGAUGAGGAUGAUGCUACACUCUUGACUUUGCCAUGUAUUCGAAGUCUGAUCAAAAUCGCAGGAGUUUCUUUUGCCGGGCGAAAAUGGAAUCAAAUGAUUAAUGUCAGUUUGCAACGGAGUGUGAAGAAGUCUUCGAAGGGUUCAGCCACCACAACGGUGUUAGUUCGAAAAGUAUUGGAAAAUUUCUUCACCAAUCAUAUUGCGAAUAAUAACGAUGAGAUUAAGACUCCAAAACAGACCGGUUGUGGAACAUGUGAGGCUUGCCAACAGUCUGACUGUGGCCAUUGCCUUGCCUGUCGCGAUAUGCUUAAGUUUGGCGGGAUAGGGUGGUCGAAACAACCUUGUAAAAUGAGGUGGUGCCCAACUGAGGCUCUACAAGAAGCAGAAGACUGCGAUACGUUCGAUGCGGAUGAGGACUCUGAAACACUCGCAGUAGACGAAGAGACGUUUUCUUGUUCGAAGAGAAUUAUUAACCAAGUUGAAUGGAUUGGUGAUGCAUUAAGUGAACAAAACGGCCGGACAUAUUAUCAGUUCGCUACUGUUGGAAAUGCGCAAAUAACAACUGGAGACUAUGUAAUUCUAAAUCCAGUCGUGCCAAACCACCCACUUCUUGUAGCCGAAGUUGUCUACAUGUGGAAUGAUACCGAAAAAGGUCCAAUGUUCCACGCGCAUUUUUUCAUCCGCGGAUCGAACACGGUUUUGGGCGAAACAGCGGAUCCCAGGGAGAUUUUUGUGCAUGACAGUUGCGACAAUUGCCCUCUGGGCACAAUUGUCCGUAAGGCCAUCGUAGAGAAACGUUUACCAACCAUUGAUUGGGCCCUGAUUGGUGGUGGCGACAGCCUAUCACCUAUAUUGGAAGAUGAUGGGGAAACGUAUUUCUUUUCAAAACGUUACAAUGCAGAACACGCCAGAUUUGAGGAUUUGCGGUCAGCAGAUUUUGGAUCGGAAUCAAUUUCCCCGUGUGAAGCAUGCACUGCCAAUCAUCAGAGGCGUUUAUUUAAUACUCCUAAGAUGGAAGAUAACUCUGUGAUAUACCAUGGUGAAGAAUACAAAGUAGGGAGCGCGGUGUACUUAACGCCCGGAGUGUUCAAAUACUUGAAAAUCUCGUUUGACACUGAGGACGAUUGUUUAUCAACAAAAAGCGACUUCGAUAGUGCUUUAUAUCCGGAGUCUUACCGCAAGAACCAUGAAAAUAUUAAAGCAUCUAAUUUGGGUGCAACUGAACCAUUUGCUAUUGCAUUGAUCGAGGCAAUUUUUGAGGAACAUUCCACUACGAAUGAAUCAAACAUCAAACUCAGGGUUAAGAAGUUCUAUAGACCUGAAAACACGCAUAAAGGCGCGGCUUUAAAUCGUCAGUGCGAUCUGAACAUGUUGUAUUAUAGCGAAGAAGAGGAUAUAGUUGACUUCCUCGAUGUACAAGGUAAAUGCUUUAUCACUUAUGGUUAUAACAUAGAGGGUUCUCUGAACGAAUGGACGACUGAAGGUCCUCACCGGUUUUAUUUUCUCGAGAAAUACGAUUCGGAAACGUUGACCUUUGAGGAUGUUCCGUCCAGCGCGAUGAGAAUGGGCCAGAGAGGUAAAGAUUCGAGAAAACAGAAGAAUAAAAGCAAGAAAGGGUCAGUCAAGUCGUUCGAAGUUGCGCCAAACUAUAAAAAUAUGGAAGAGUUGUCUUGUUUGGACGUGUUUGCAGGAUGUGGAGGCUUCUCCGAGGGAUUGCUUCAGAGUGGAGUUGCUAAAAUACGUUGGGCUAUUGAAAAAGAUGCUGCAGCUGCAAAAGCAUAUCAGGUAAAUAAUCCGGACGUGCACGUAUUUACCACUGACAGUAAUCAGUUCCUAAUGGAUGUGAUGGACGGCGAUGGCUUUGCCCAGGGCAUGCCAUUCAAAGGGGAAGUGCAAUUAUUAGUGGGCACGCCACCGUGCCAGGCAUUCUCCGGAAUGAAUAAAUUCAACGCUGGAGAGUUUGCGAAUUUUCAACAUUCUCAUAUUGCUUCGUAUCUCUCGUACUGCGAGUAUUACCGCCCGAAUUAUUUAAUUCUCGACAAUGUUGGGGAUUUCGUUUUCUUUAAGAAAAGUCUUGUGUUAAAGUUGACUCUGAGGUGCUUAUUGGCCAUGGGUUAUCAGGCGACUUUUGGUGUCAUUCAGGCCGGACAUUAUGGGGUGCCACAAAGUCACAGAAGGUUGAUUAUAUUUGCUGCCGCGCCGGGAUACGAAUUACCGAAUUAUCCCGAACCAUGUCAUGUAUUGCGAAAGAUGCAAUGUGAAUCGUCGGUCCAAGUUGGAGAUCAUCGAUACACUAAUGGUACACGUUGGAUAGGCUCUGCGCCACUCAGACCAAUCACGGUGUAUGAUGCAUUGGCCGAUCUGCCGGCAAUUCAAAACGGUGCCAGCAUGCGUAUCCUACCUUAUGACACGGAUGCCAUUACGCACUUUCAACGCCAGAUGCGGAACGCCGGCGGCCAGUUAAACACGAUCUCCGACCACAUCUGCAAAAACAUGCCACCCUUGGUCGAAGCACGCAUGUCUUACAUCCCGCUAGCACCCGGCAGCGAUUGGCGUGACUUGCCGAACCUGGAGGUGCGUCUUAAAGAUGGCUCCUACACCAAUACACUGCACUACGCAUACCAUACUAAGCAACAAGCCAAUUGUGAGACACCCAGAGGAGUGUGCAUCUGUGCCACCGAGGAGGCCUGCUGCGAUCCGUCCGAUCAACAGUUGAAUACAUUGAUACCGUGGUGUUUACCGCACACGGCGGAUCGCCACAAUCAUUGGACGGGACUGUAUGGACGCUUAGAGUGGGAUGGAGUCUUUAGUACGACGGUGACUAAUCCAGAACCUAUGGGCAGGCAGGGUCGCGUCUUGCACCCAGAGCAGCAUCGGGUUGUUAGUGUGAGGGAGUGUGCGAGGUCGCAGGGAUUUCCAGACAAGUACGAGUUUGCGGGCAAUAUAUUCGAUAAGCAUCGGCAGGUGGGAAAUGCGAUGCCACCGCCUGUAGGCGCGGCACUUGGCAGGGAGAUUUUACAAGCGUGCCUUAAUUCGAAGGUUUAAAGAUUUGAAGUAUGAAUUAUUUUAUUUUGUUAUAUUAAACUGUUUGUACCGCUACGUGAUACUGCAAGAUGUGUCGAAACGCAUGUUAGAAAAAAGUUGAGAAGUUUGGCACUUCGAAAAUUGUCAGAUUGUUGCAAUUGUUUGUGUUAAUUUACGGCAGCAAAGUUUUAAGUCCAUUUUACCAUUGUUCUACCACCAAAGUAUUUAUAUCCAUAUCUCAUGUAAUGAUUAAGUAAGUUUAUACGAAUACCAAUGCUAGUUUAAUUCGAAAUAGUCAGUUUUGGAUGGUGAGAUGUAUGUAAUAAUAUUUAAUAUAUUUUGUAAUUCCUUGCUGGGAAUUUUGCUUGAGCGUUGAAAAUUUAAAGCAGUUUAAAAUAUUUAAAUUGUGAAAUAAGCAGUUAAGCCUUGGCCUUGUGCCACUAGAUUUAAAUGUUUCGCAUGCGCAGUACGGACUUCCGGUGCUGGCACAUCUGCGCAUGCCGUCCUGUAUCUUGCAUUUACCGCACGCUCGAGUCACGCGCAUCUAGCCCGGCCUUUGAGUUGCAAGCAUCUCUUUAACAUUUUAAUCGUGCUGUUCAAAUCUUGUGAAUGAAUUUUCCACCAGAAUCCGAUAUCGUAGAAGAACCAUUCUUUUAGCAGAUGGGAUUUUCCACCUGAGUCCGAUAUCGCAGGAGAACCAUUCUUUCAGCAGAUGGGAUUUUCUACUUGAGUCCGAUAUCGUAGAAGAAACAUUCUUUCAGCAGAUGGGAUUUUUCACCUGAUUCCGAUAUCGUAGAAGAACCAUUUUUCAGCUGAUGGGAUUUUCCACCUGAGUCCGAUAUUGUAGAAGAACCAUUCUUGCAGCAGAUAGGAUUUUCUACCUGAGUCCGAUAUUGUAGAAGAACCAUUCUUUUAGCAGAUAGGAUUUUCCACCUGAGUCCGAUAUUGUAGAAGAACCAUUCUUUCAGCAGGUAGUAAGUAUUAAAUUUCUCUAUCGUUUUCAUCAAUAAAUUUUGUGAUUAUCUCACGAAUUAACCCUUAAAA